GGUUAAGCGACUAAGCGUACACGGUGGAUGCCCUGGCAGUCAGAGGCGAUGAAGGACGUGCUAAUCUGCGAUAAGCGUCGGUAAGGUGAUAUGAACCGUUAUAACCGGCGAUUUCCGAAUGGGGAAACCCAGUGUGAUUCGUCACACUAUCAUUAACUGAAUCCAUAGGUUAAUGAGGCGAACCGGGGGAACUGAAACAUCUAAGUACCCCGAGGAAAAGAAAUCAACCGAGAUUCCCCCAGUAGCGGCGAGCGAACGGGGAGCAGCCCAGAGCCUGAAUCAGUGUGUGUGUUAGUGGAAGCGUCUGGAAAGGCGCGCGAUACAGGGUGACAGCCCCGUACACAAAAAUGCACAUGCUGUGAGCUCGAUGAGUAGGGCGGGACACGUGGUAUCCUGUCUGAAUAUGGGGGGACCAUCCUCCAAGGCUAAAUACUCCUGACUGACCGAUAGUGAACCAGUACCGUGAGGGAAAGGCGAAAAGAACCCCGGCGAGGGGAGUGAAAAAGAACCUGAAACCGUGUACGUACAAGCAGUGGGAGCACGCUUAGGCGUGUGACUGCGUACCUUUUGUAUAAUGGGUCAGCGACUUAUAUUCUGUAGCAAGGUUAACCGAAUAGGGGAGCCGAAGGGAAACCGAGUCUUAACUGGGCGUUAAGUUGCAGGGUAUAGACCCGAAACCCGGUGAUCUAGCCAUGGGCAGGUUGAAGGUUGGGUAACACUAACUGGAGGACCGAACCGACUAAUGUUGAAAAAUUAGCGGAUGACUUGUGGCUGGGGGUGAAAGGCCAAUCAAACCGGGAGAUAGCUGGUUCUCCCCGAAAGCUAUUUAGGUAGCGCCUCGUGAAUUCAUCUCCGGGGGUAGAGCACUGUUUCGGCAAGGGGGUCAUCCCGACUUACCAACCCGAUGCAAACUGCGAAUACCGGAGAAUGUUAUCACGGGAGACACACGGCGGGUGCUAACGUCCGUCGUGAAGAGGGAAACAACCCAGACCGCCAGCUAAGGUCCCAAAGUCAUGGUUAAGUGGGAAACGAUGUGGGAAGGCCCAGACAGCCAGGAUGUUGGCUUAGAAGCAGCCAUCAUUUAAAGAAAGCGUAAUAGCUCACUGGUCGAGUCGGCCUGCGCGGAAGAUGUAACGGGGCUAAACCAUGCACCGAAGCUGCGGCAGCGACGCUUAUGCGUUGUUGGGUAGGGGAGCGUUCUGUAAGCCUGUGAAGGUGUACUGUGAGGUAUGCUGGAGGUAUCAGAAGUGCGAAUGCUGACAUAAGUAACGAUAAAGCGGGUGAAAAGCCCGCUCGCCGGAAGACCAAGGGUUCCUGUCCAACGUUAAUCGGGGCAGGGUGAGUCGACCCCUAAGGCGAGGCCGAAAGGCGUAGUCGAUGGGAAACAGGUUAAUAUUCCUGUACUUGGUGUUACUGCGAAGGGGGGACGGAGAAGGCUAUGUUGGCCGGGCGACGGUUGUCCCGGUUUAAGCGUGUAGGCUGGUUUUCCAGGCAAAUCCGGAAAAUCAAGGCUGAGGCGUGAUGACGAGGCACUACGGUGCUGAAGCAACAAAUGCCCUGCUUCCAGGAAAAGCCUCUAAGCAUCAGGUAACAUCAAAUCGUACCCCAAACCGACACAGGUGGUCAGGUAGAGAAUACCAAGGCGCUUGAGAGAACUCGGGUGAAGGAACUAGGCAAAAUGGUGCCGUAACUUCGGGAGAAGGCACGCUGAUAUGUAGGUGAAGUCCCUCGCGGAUGGAGCUGAAAUCAGUCGAAGAUACCAGCUGGCUGCAACUGUUUAUUAAAAACACAGCACUGUGCAAACACGAAAGUGGACGUAUACGGUGUGACGCCUGCCCGGUGCCGGAAGGUUAAUUGAUGGGGUCAGCGCAAGCGAAGCUCUUGAUCGAAGCCCCGGUAAACGGCGGCCGUAACUAUAACGGUCCUAAGGUAGCGAAAUUCCUUGUCGGGUAAGUUCCGACCUGCACGAAUGGCGUAAUGAUGGCCAGGCUGUCUCCACCCGAGACUCAGUGAAAUUGAACUCGCUGUGAAGAUGCAGUGUACCCGCGGCAAGACGGAAAGACCCCGUGAACCUUUACUAUAGCUUGACACUGAACAUUGAGCCUUGAUGUGUAGGAUAGGUGGGAGGCUUUGAAGUGUGGACGCCAGUCUGCAUGGAGCCGACCUUGAAAUACCACCCUUUAAUGUUUGAUGUUCUAACGUUGACCCGUGAUCCGGGUUGCGGACAGUGUCUGGUGGGUAGUUUGACUGGGGCGGUCUCCUCCUAAAGAGUAACGGAGGAGCACGAAGGUUGGCUAAUCCUGGUCGGACAUCAGGAGGUUAGUGCAAUGGCAUAAGCCAGCUUGACUGCGAGCGUGACGGCGCGAGCAGGUGCGAAAGCAGGUCAUAGUGAUCCGGUGGUUCUGAAUGGAAGGGCCAUCGCUCAACGGAUAAAAGGUACUCCGGGGAUAACAGGCUGAUACCGCCCAAGAGUUCAUAUCGACGGCGGUGUUUGGCACCUCGAUGUCGGCUCAUCACAUCCUGGGGCUGAAGUAGGUCCCAAGGGUAUGGCUGUUCGCCAUUUAAAGUGGUACGCGAGCUGGGUUUAGAACGUCGUGAGACAGUUCGGUCCCUAUCUGCCGUGGGCGCUGGAGAAUUGAGGGGGGCUGCUCCUAGUACGAGAGGACCGGAGUGGACGCAUCACUGGUGUUCGGGUUGUCAUGCCAAUGGCACUGCCCGGUAGCUAAAUGCGGAAGAGAUAAGUGCUGAAAGCAUCUAAGCACGAAACUUGCCCCGAGAUGAGUUCUCCCUGACUCCUUGAGAGUCCUGAAGGAACGUUGAAGACGACGACGUUGAUAGGCCGGGUGUGUAAGCGCAGCGAUGCGUUGAGCUAACCGGUACUAAUGAACCGUGAGGCUUAACCUU
rnacentral:rRNA from 1 species